GUUCAUGUGUUCUGAUUCUGUGAGGAUCCAGUGGCAAACUAAGAGCAUUUCUCAGGAAUAGAAUGGUUACUUUCUGAAAGGGCAUGACCUGCUCUAAAAUAUCAUAGAGGCCUCUCUGGAUCAUCCUACUAGGGUUUACCUUACACUCCAACAGCAUGGAUUUGCCAAAGAGGGUUCAAACACCACUGGUUUAUUAGGGCUAAGUGCAGACUAUCUACUGUGCAGCCUACACUACCUGGACAGCCUUUACUUUGACUAAUUAAAUCCUGGAAUGUUUUCAGUUAUCUAGGGACGAAUGUAUUUGAACACCCAAAUGUGAAAUAUGUUGCCUUCAAGAUCCAAAGAGGCUUAUAAAUCCUAUCUUUUUAAAUGAUAACUUGUUAUUUUGGAGGGGAUAUUUAUUUUUUUUAAUAAACACUUCUCUAAAUGUGGUACAGAAGAGCUAUCUCUUUCACUCGUGAAGAAACCCUCCACUCAGUGUAUUCUGGAGGUCCUACUUUCAUAAACAUAAUGUGUACGGAAACACUUCUCUAAAUACAGUACAGAAGAGCAUAUCCAUCAACACCCAGAAAUAGCAUUCUUCUUAAGGUAUUCUGCAAGUACUACUUUCGUAAACAUCUUUAGUAUAUUUGCUUUCAAACAAUCCUCCUAUAUUACAGAGGUGCUAUCACUUUCAUUCUGGAGUGAAUAUGUAAAUGCCCUAGAUAUCCUUCAGAGUCACCUGGAGGGCCUGUUUAAAGACAGAUUCUGUGCCCCACCCCCAAAAUUUCUGAUUCAGUCUCUCUAGGGUGAGGCCCAAGAAUUUGCAUUUCUAACAUCUUCCCAGGUGAUGGUGGUCCUUCUGGUUUGUGGACCACACAAAGAACUAUGGCUUAGAUCACUCAGAAGUUCAGUGGCAUGAAGCUUACCAAGGCAGCUAAAAAUCCAAAGAGGCUUAUGAAUCCUAUCUUUUUAAAUGAUAACUUGUUAUUUUGGAGGGGAUAUUUAUUUAUUUAUUUAUUUUUUAAGAAACACUUCUCUAAAUGCAGUACAGAAGUGCAAGUUACCAGAUUGUGCUCUCCUCAUAGUAUCUGCGUGAUAUCACUAUUGGAGUGAACCAGCAUGAUGUCCUGUGAAAUGUCACUUGGUCUCCUAAAGUCUUGUCUACAAUGGGCAUUUUUUUAAGGAUAUCCAGAUAGCAUCUCAAGACGCCUGAGAGACCCGUGCUGCUAUACAUCGGAAGGCGGAUGAACUCCCCCCCAGGAGGAGGUGGAGAUAGGUGAAAACUCUCUGACCCCUGACCCCCGGACAGCCUAGUACCUGCAAGAGGCUCUCUUCCAGCAGAUUCCCCAAUAGCAUCGCCACGCACCAAGGGCGGGAGUGUGCACUCACUGGCGGAGCGACAGUGGAAACAGGUGAGUAUAGCCCUACCUAAACCCCCCACGAUUACACCUAAGCCCAGGGGGAAACUCCAAGGUCCCGCACCUGCCGGCAGGGAAAGCCUCUGCUCGCCAUUAGCAGAGAGGCCCCACCCAGCAUUCAGAACACUGGGAAGCUCCCAAAGAGUGGAUUCCCCAGCAGGGCACCAGCCUGCCAGCCGCUGCUGGGCCCACAGUCUCCGGCUGUGCAUGGGACAGUGCAAGAGGUGUCCAGAGUUCCCGUGGGUGUGCUUGGGGGCUGGGUGGAGCUCCAGCACCUGGCUGCAUGGCCCAGGGGGAAACUCCAGAGUCCUGCACCUGCCAGCAGGGAAGGCCUCUGCUCGCCAUUAGCAGAGAGGCCCUUCCCAGCAUUCAGAAUGCCAGGAAGCUCCCAAAGAGC
rnacentral:lncRNA from 1 species